rnacentral:rRNA from 1 species
GAGUUUGAUCGUGGCUCAGAUUGAACGCUGGCGGCAGGCCUAACACAUGCAAGUCGAGCGGAUGAAGGGAGCUUGCUCCUGGAUUCAGCGGCGGACGGGUGAGUAAUGCCUAGGAAUCUGCCUGGGUAGUGGGGGAUAACGUCCGGAAACGGGCGCUAAUACCGCAUACGUCCUGAGGGAGAAAGUGGGGGAUCUUCGGACCUCACGCUAUCAGAUGAGCCUAGGUCGGAUUAGCUAGUUGGUGGGGUAAAGGCCUACCAAGGCGACGAUCCGUAACUGGUCUGAGAGGAUGAUCAGUCACACUGGAACUGAGACACGGUCCAGACUCCUACGGGAGGCAGCAGUGGGGAAUAUUGGACAAUGGGCGAAAGCCUGAUCCAGCCAUGCCGCGUGUGUGAAGAAGGUCUUCGGAUUGUAAAGCACUUUAAGUUGGGAGGAAGGGCAGUAAGUUAAUACCUUGCUGUUUUGACGUUACCAACAGAAUAAGCACCGGCUAGCUUCGUGCCAGCCGCCGCGGUAACG